rnacentral:rRNA from 1 species
AUGAACGCUGGCGGCGUGCUUAACACAUGCAAGUCGAACGAGGACCUCCUUCUGGGUGAACUUAGUGGCGGAACGGGUGAGUAACAGCGUGAGUAACCUGCCUGUAAGCUCUGGGAUAACUCGGGAAACUGAAGUCUAAUACCGGAUAUGACUCGCGCAUCGCAUGAUGUGGGGAUGGAAAGACGGUUUGGUGGUAUUUAAGAUGGACUCCGCGUCCGAUCAGCUUAGUUGGUGAGGUAAUGGCUCACCAAGGCGACGACUGGUAGCCGGCCUGAGAGGGUGAUCGGCCACACUGGGACUGAGACACGGCCCAGACUCCUACGGGAGGCAGCAGUGGGGAAUAUUCGGCACAUGGGCGAAAGCCUGAUGCGAGCAACGCCGCGUGAGGGAUGACGGCCUUCGGGUUGUAAAGCCUCUGUUAACAGUAGGGAAGAAAGCGAAAUUGACGGUACCUUCACGAGAAGCCACGGCUAACUACGUGUCCAGCAGCCGCGGUAAUACGUAGGGGCGCAAGCGUUAUCCGGAAUUAUUGGGCGUAAAGAGCGCGUAGGCGGUUUGUCGCGUCUGCCUGUGAAAGUCCCGGGCUCAACUCCGGGAGGGUCAUGGAACGUGGGUACGGGCAGACUAGAGUGAUGUAAGGGGAAGACUGGAAUUCCACUGUGUAGCGGUGAAAUGCGCUAGAUAUCAGGGAGGAACACCAGAUGGCGAAGGCAGGUCUUCUGGUCAUGUAACUGACGCUGAGGAGCGAAAGCAUGGGGAGCGAACAGGAUUAGAUACCCUGGUAGUCCAUGCCGUAAACGAUUGGGCCUAGGUGUGGGGACAUUCAGCGGUUUUCCGCCCGUAGGCUGAAGUACGCAUUAAGCACUCCGCCUGGGGAGUACGGUCCGCAAGACUGAAACUCAAAGGAAUUGACGGGGGCCCGCACAAGCGGCUGGAGCAUGCUGGAUUAAUUCGAUGCAACGCGAAGAACCUUACCAAGGCUUGACAUGGGCCGGACCGGGCUGGAAACAGUCCUUCCCCUUUGGGGCCGGUUCACAGGUGGUGCAUGGUUGUCGUCAGCUCGUGUCGUGAGAUGUUGGGUUAAGUCCCGCAACGAGCGCAACCCUCGUUCCAUGUUGCCAGCGCGUAAUGGCGGGGACUCAUGGGAGACUGCCGGGGUCAACUCGGAGGAAGGUGGGGACGACGUCAAAUCAUCAUGCCCCUUAUGUCUUGGGCUUCACGCAUGCUACAAUGGCCGGUACAAAGGGUUGCGAUACUGUGAGGUGGAGCUAAUCCCAAAAAGCCGGUCUCAGUUCGGAUUGGGGUCUGCAACUCGACCCCAUGAAGUCGGAGUCGCUAGUAAUCGCAGAUCAGCAACGCUGCGGUGAAUACGUUCCCGGGCCUUGUACACACCGCCCGUCAAGUCACGAAAGUUGGUAAUACCCGAAGCCGGUGGCCUAACCCCUUGUGGGAGGGAGCUGUCGAAGGUGGGACUGGCGAUUGGGACU